rnacentral:rRNA from 1 species
GAAUAUUGGACAAUGGGCGAAACCCUGAUCCAGCCAUGCCGCGUGUGUGAAGAAGGCCUUUUGGUUGUAAAGCACUUUAAGCGAGGAGGAGGCUACUCUAGUUAAUACAUAGGGAUAGUUGACGUUACUCGCAGAAUAAGCACCGGCUAACUCUGUGCCACAAGCCGCGGUAAUACAGAGGGUGCAAGCGUUAAUCGGAUUUACUGGGCGUAAAGCGCGAGUAGGUGGCCAAUUAAGUCAAAUGAGAAAUCCCCGAGCUUAACUUGGGAAUUGCAUUCGAUACUGGUUGGCUAGAGUAUGGGAGAGGAUGGUAGAAUUCCAGGUGUAGCGGUGAAAUGCGUAGAGAUCUGGAGGAAUACCGAUGGCGAAGGCAGCCAUCUGGCCUAAUACUGACACUGAGGUGCGAAAUCAUGGGGAGCAAACAG